rnacentral:rRNA from 1 species
CCUACGGGCGGCAGCAGUGGGGAAUAUUGGACAAUGGGGGCAACCCUGAUCCAGCCAUGCCGCGUGUGUGAAGAAGGCCCUCGGGUUGUAAAGCACUUUCAGUGAGGAAGAACGCCUGGUGGUUAAUACCCAUCAGGAAAGACAUCACUCACAGAAGAAGCACCGGCUAACUCCGUGCCAGCAGCCGCGGUAAUACGGAGGGUGCGAGCGUGAAUCGGAAUUACUGGGCGUAAAGCGCGCGUAGGUGGCUUGAUAAGCCGGUUGUGAAAGCCCCGGGCUCAACCUGGGAACGGCAUCCGGAACUGUCAAGCUAGAGUGCAGGAGAGGAAGGUAGAAUUCCCGGUGUAGCGGUGAAAUGCGUAGAGAUCGGGAGGAAUACCAGUGGCGAAGGCGGCCUUCUGGACUGACGCUGACACUGAGGUGCGAAAGCGUGGGUAGCAAACAGGAUUAGUACCCUGGUAGUC